rnacentral:lncRNA from 1 species
CAGGAGCAGGACUGCUUCAAGAUUCUAAAGUUUAUCGCAUGCAAGGAAGGUAGCCUACAAAGAGCUCUGCACCUCAUCACCUCCACUCAAGAUCAAGAACAAUUAAAUCGGGACACUUUUUUUCGUGUCACGAAUGCCAUCAAUAAAAGGAUUCUGGUGGAAAAGUAGGAUGUGCGUAUCACCCCUCUUGUGAAUGCAGCUAUUGCUUGUGGUCGUGAGGCAAGCGUAAUGGCUGCGUUGGAUUCAGUUGCUGAAGGACAAGAGGCUGGCAUGGAUCCUGCCAUAGCGUCGAGAGCAUUUUCGUGCAUUGCAGACUUUUUGGGGGCAAUG